rfam:TPA: Bos taurus chromosome 10, whole genome shotgun sequence.
UCCCUGGUGGCUCAGAUGGUAAAGCGUCUGCCUGCAGCGCAGGAGACCCAGAUUUGAUCCCUGGGUUGGGAA